rnacentral:rRNA from 1 species
UGCCUCAGUAACGGCGAGUGAAGCGGCAACAGCUCAAAUUUGAAAUCUGGCGGCCUCUGGGCCGUCCGAGUUGUAAUUUGAAGAGGAUGCUUUUGGCGAGGCGCCUUCCGAGUGCCCUGGAACGGGACGCCACAGAGGGUGAGAGCCCCGUAUGGUUGGACGCCGAGCCUCUGUAAAGCUCCUUCGACGAGUCGAGUAGUUUGGGAAUGCUGCUCAAAAUGGGAGGUAAACCCCUUCUAAAGCUAAAUACUGGCCAGAGACCGAUAGCGCACAAGUAGAGUGAUCGAAAGAUGAAAAGCACUUUGAAAAGAGAGUUAAAUAGCACGUGAAAUUGUUGAAAGGGAAGCGCUUGCGACCAGACUUGUGCCCGUCGAAUCAGCCGCCGCUCGCCGGCGGCGCACUUCGGCGGGCUCAGGCCAGCAUCAGUUCGCUGCAGGGGGAGAAAGGCGGCGGGAAUGUGGCUCUUCGGAGUGUUAUAGCCCGCCGCGCAAUACCCCUCGGCGGACUGAGGACCGCGCAUCUGCAAGGAUGCUGGCGUAAUGGUCGUCAGCGACCCGUCUUGAAACACGGACCAAGGAGUCGUCCUAAUAUGCGAGUGUUCGGGUGUAAAACCCCUGCGCGUAAUGAAAGUGAACGGAGGUGAGAGCUUCGGCGCAUCAUCGACCGAUCCUGAUGUUCUCGGAUGGAUUUGAGUAAGAGCAUAUUGGGCCGGACCCGAAAGAAGGUGAACUAUGCCUGUAUAGGGUAAAGCCAGAGGAAACUCUGGUGGAGGCUCGCAGCGGUUCUGACGUGCAAAUCGAUCGUCAAAUAUGGGCAU